GACGUAGGAGGCGAGCGUUAUCCGGAUUCACUGGGCGUAAAGCGCAUGUAGGCGGUUGCACAAGUCCGUUGUUAAAGCCCCUGGCUCAACUGGGGGAGGUCAAUGGAGACUGUGCGACUUGAGGGCAGUAGAGGCACGUGGAACUCCCGGUGUAGCGGUGGAAUGCGUAGAGAUCGGGAAGAACACCAGUGGCGAAGGCGACGUGCUGGGCUGCAACUGACGCUGAGAUGCGAAAGCGUGGGGAGCGAACAGG
rnacentral:rRNA from 1 species